GACGAACGCUGGCGGCGUGCUUAACACAUGCAAGUCGAACGGAAAGGCCCUGCUUUUGUGGGGUGCUCGAGUGGCGAACGGGUGAGUAACACGUGAGUAACCUGCCCUUGACUUUGGGAUAACUUCAGGAAACUGGGGCUAAUACCGGAUAGGAGCUCCUGCUGCAUGGUGGGGGUUGGAAAGUUUCGGCGGUUGGGGAUGGACUCGCGGCUUAUCAGCUUGUUGGUGGGGUAGUGGCUUACCAAGGCUUUGACGGGUAGCCGGCCUGAGAGGGUGACCGGCCACAUUGGGACUGAGAUACGGCCCAGACUCCUACGGGAGGCAGCAGUGGGGAAUAUUGCACAAUGGGCGGAAGCCUGAUGCAGCAACGCCGCGUGCGGGAUGACGGCCUUCGGGUUGUAAACCGCUUUCGCCUGUGACGAAGCGUGAGUGACGGUAAUGGGUAAAGAAGCACCGGCUAACUACGUGCCAGCAGCCGCGGUGAUACGUAGGGUGCGAGCGUUGUCCGGAUUUAUUGGGCGUAAAGGGCUCGUAGGUGGUUGAUCGCGUCGGAAGUGUAAUCUUGGGGCUUAACCCUGAGCGUGCUUUCGAUACGGGUUGACUUGAGGAAGGUAGGGGAGAAUGGAAUUCCUGGUGGAGCGGUGGAAUGCGCAGAUAUCAGGAGGAACACCAGUGGCGAAGGCGGUUCUCUGGGCCUUUCCUGACGCUGAGGAGCGAAAGCGUGGGGAGCGAACAGGCUUAGAUACCCUGGUAGUCCACGCUGUAAACGGUGGGUACUAGGUGUGGGGUCCAUUCCACGGGUUCCGUGCCGUAGCUAACGCUUUAAGUACCCCGCCUGGGGAGUACGGCCGCAAGGCUAAAACUCAAAGGAAUUGACGGGGCCCCGCACAAGCGGCGGAGCAUGCGGAUUAAUUCGAUGCAACGCGUAGAACCUUACCUGGGUUUGACAUGGAUCGGGAGUGCUCAGAGAUGGGUGUGCCUCUUUUGGGGUCGGUUCACAGGUGGUGCAUGGCUGUCGUCAGCUCGUGUCGUGAGAUGUCGGGUUAAGUCCCGCAACGAGCGCAACCCUUGUUCACUGUUGCCAGCACGUUAUGGUGGGGACUCAGUGGAGACCGCCGGGGUCAACUCGGAGGAAGGUGGGGAUGACGUCAAGUCAUCAUGCCCCUUAUGUCCAGGGCUUCACGCAUGCUACAAUGGCUGGUACAGAGAGUGGCGAGCCUGUGAGGGUGAGCGAAUCUCGGAAAGCCGGUCUCAGUUCGGAUUGGGGUCUGCAACUCGACCUCAUGAAGUCGGAGUCGCUAGUAAUCGCAGAUCAGCAACGCUGCGGUGAAUACGUUCCCGGGGCUUGUACACACCGCCCGUCAAGUCAUGAAAGUUGGUAACACCCGAAGCCGGUGGCCUAACCGUUGUGGGGGAGCCGUCGAAGGUGGGACUGGUGAUUAGGACUAAG
rnacentral:rRNA from 1 species